AUCUACCUAGGAGGGAGAGCAGAUCUCUAACUCCCACUCAGUGAGAGAAGUCUGGCUGGGGUGAAGAGCUGUCAAGAGAUUACUGUCUGUCAAAGCCUCCCCGAGGGAAGGUAGAAACUGUCAGCUGAACGUUGCUUAGCUUAGAAGAUGUGGCAACCUCACAGCUCAUCAUGAUAUGCCUUGCAUUUAAUACUGGGCGUUACAAGCUUGGAGGGAAAACUUGCACUUCAAGGAAGAUAAAAGCAGCCGCUCCAGAGGCAGAGCAGGGUGGAACUAGAAAACAGAUUGCUGAUUCAAGAUGUGGGAGGAGAAAACUCUCUUUCAAGUAACUCAUGAAAGUGAGGUAGGCCGGCUUUGCUUAAAGCAGCAAGAGGAUUAGAUCAGCAUGGUGAAUAAAAAGGUAGAUAAAGACAAGGACAUCAAAGGCUGUGGUUUCAGAGAAGCCUGAGAAAAGAACAUGUGCUGUUUAUACUACAAGACUAGGAAUCAGGAAAUCUGGGAUGUAUUGCCAGCCCUGCCACAGACUCUACAUAUGAACCUCACCAAAUCACUUAACUCACAAGUGCCUCAGUUUGCCCAUCUGAAAAAGGAGAGAAUAAUACCACUUGGCUUAGGUACAUUUCAUUGGUGCAUGAAUGGAAAUUUAAAAGGUUUGUCAUUAAAUAUUGGUGAAAAUGGAAACAUCAUCUAUGCUUUCAUCUUUACAUGAUGAAUGCAGAUCAGAAAAUUUCAUUGAACCUCAUUACAAGGAAUGGUAUCGUGUAGCUAUUGAUGCUUUAAUUGAAGGAGGUUUAGAAGCCUACCAAGAAUUUCUUUCCAAAGAGAGAUGUUCAGAGUUCCUAGCAGAAGAAGAAAUUAAUUAUAUUUUGAACACUGUUCAGAAACUUCCUCAAAACACAGUUUAUUCCUCUGACAAUGCUGUUGAUGAUACCUCUUCUUCGGGUACUUAUUGGCCUAUUGAAUCUGAUGUGGAAGCUCCAAACCUUGACUUGGGCUGGCCCUAUCUGAUGCCUGGAACGUCUGGAGGUACAAAUGUUGAUCUACUUUUUCAUCCACCACGAAUACAGCCUUUCACAAUAAAGGAAACUAUUAGGAAGAUGAUAAGAGAAGCAAGAAAGGUAAACAGUUUAAACAAUAUUUAUAUUCAAAGACUAUGGAAAUAAUUUGAUAUUUAUUGAGUCUUUUUGUGCAUACUAUCAGUGGGAAGAAACAUCUGGCUGAAAGAAAAGUGGAUGUAAAAAAUUAUUGGAUUGAGGCCUUUGAUAGGCACAUAAGGAAUGCCUAGACAAUUGACAGACUUGUUGUUUUGACCUCAGCUUUCCUUACGUUGAAUAUAAACUGAAUCUUCAUAUGAAUGUUAUAAUACCAAAUCUGGAAUAUUGGACUAGAUCCUUAGCUUGUGUCAUUCAGUCGAGCUCCAAGAUCUAUCCAAUUUGUUAUUUUGCUGUGAUUAGGUGUUGGGGUGUGCAUGUGAAGUUGUUUCAGUCCAAUUUUUGUGAAAAUUUUGCUGACUUACAUGUACUAGAAUCAUGUUUCUUGAAGUGCUCAGGAAGCAAGAUUUUUGUGACCUUGAAUACAACUCCUGCUUACAGUAAUAGAACAGAAAAGCACAAAAGAGGGGUAAGAAGAAGUGUUAUAUAAAUAGCAUUUGGUCCAUAAAGUCUGGUAUCCUGCCUUCAGAAAUUGCCAAUACUUGACACAUGAGGAAAAGCUGAACGUUAUCCCACAAAUUGUACUUAAUUUACUGUGGAAUGUUGGACACGGGGGGAGUGGUGGAAAUCUUUAUGCAGGGAUCAGGAAUGUCUAUCAAGAACUUGCAUGCACACUCAUCUUGCAAAACAAAU